UUAAAUGAGCGCUGUCCUUG
rnacentral:misc_RNA from 1 species